rnacentral:rRNA from 1 species
GAUGAACGCUAGCUACAUGCUUAACACAUGCAAGUCGAGGGGAAACGAUGAGAGAGCUUGCUCUCUUAGGCGUCGACCGGCGCACGGGUGAGUAACGCGUAUCCAACCUACCCAUUACAGGGGGAUAACCUUGCGAAAGUAAUACUAAUACCCCAUGUCAGUUUCUGGUGGCAUCAUUAUAGAAUUAACGAUUUAUCGGUAAUGGAGGGGGAUGCGUCUGAUUAGCUUGUUGGCGGGGUAACGUCACACCAAGGCAACGAUCAGUAGGGGUUCUGAGAGGCAGGCACCCUACAUCGGAACUGAGACACGGUCCACACUCCUACGGGAGGCAGCAGUGAGUAAUAUUGGUCAAUGGGCGAUAGCUUGAACCAGCCAAGUAGCGUGCAGGAUGACGGCCAUAGUGGUUGUCAACUGCUUUGAUAGGGGAAUAAAGUGAGCUACGUGUAGUUUAUUGAAUGUACCCUAUGAAUAAGGCCCGGCUAAUUCCGUG